rnacentral:SRP_RNA from 1 species
GCCGGGCGAGGUGGCUCACGCCUGUAAUCCCAGCACUCUGGGAGGCUGAGGCGGGUGGAUCACCUGAGGUCAGGAGUUCGAGACCAGUCUGGCCAAUAUGGUGAAACCCCGUCUCUA